UACAGAGGGGGCAAGCGUUGUUCGGAAUUACUGGGCGUAAAGGGCGCGUAGGCGGCCUGUUAAGUCGAACGUGAAAUCCCCGGGCUCAACCCAGGAAAUGCUUCGAAUACUGGCGGACUUGAGGCUAGUAGAGGUCACUGGAACUGACGGUGGAGCGGUGAAAUGCGUAGAUAUCGUCAGGAACGCCGAUGGUGAAGACAGGUGACUGGGCUAGUUCUGACACUGAGGCACGAAAGCGUGGGGAGCGAACGGG
rnacentral:rRNA from 1 species